rnacentral:rRNA from 1 species
CAAAGGAGCAAUCCGCUGAAAGAUGGGCUCGCGGCCGAUUAGCUAGUUGGUGGGGCAACGGCCCACCAAGGCGACGAUCGGUAGCCGGACUGAGAGGUUGAUCGGCCACAUUGGGACUGAGACACGGCCCAGACUCCUACGGGAGGCAGCAGUGGGGGAUAUUGCACAAUGGAGGAAACUCUGAUGCAGCGACGCCGCGUGAGGGAAGACGGUCUUCGGAUUGUAAACCUCUGUCUUUGGGGAAGAAAAUGACGGUACCCAAAGAGGAAGCUCCGGCUAACUACGUGCCAGCAGCCGCGGUAAUACGUAGGGAGCGAGCGUUGUCCGGAAUUACUGGGUGUAAAGGGAGCGUAGGCGGGCGAGAAAGUUGAAUGUUAAAUCUACCGGCUUAACUGGUAGCUGCGUUCAAAACUUCUUGUCUUGAGUGAAGUAGAGGCAGGCGGAAUUCCUAGUGUAGCGGUGAAAUGCGUAGAUAUUAGGAGGAACACCAGUGGCGAAGGCGGCCUGCUGGGCUUUAACUGACGCUGAGGCUCGAAAGCGUGGGGAG